CGUUGCGACCCCAGGUCAGGCGGGGCUACCCGCUGAGUUUAUAG
rnacentral:rRNA from 1 species